GCGGGGAUAGCUCAGUUUGGGAGAGCGCCAGACUGAAGAUUUACUUUGGUUGUGUUUAUCUGGAGGCCGGGUGUUCGAUCCACCCUCACCGCA